rnacentral:rRNA from 1 species
UGCCUAGAACAUAGUGUUAAUGCAACGAAUCCCAUUAGAACUCUGCGGUUAAGCAUGCUCGAGCUAGAGUAGUAUUGGGAUGGGUGACCACGAGGGAAGUCUUAGUAUUUUACAUGC